CCUACCCCUAGGGGAGCUAGGGGUGUGGCUGCUGUGUCACAUGUUCACUGGUAAACAGCAGAGGAGAAAGCUAUGUCUAUGCUCAGUGUUUUGACCUGUGAACAUCUUAAUGAUUCGUAGGCUACUAUU